AGACAAAUGUAUUUCGUAGAUCUAGGGUAGAAUGUACAGCAAGCAACAACAACAUCAUCGGUGUAAAUGCUGAGGGAAGUGACAUUAGUUCUCCAAAAACAAGACAUCCGACAGAUUUUAUUUUCGUGAUAUUACUGCAUGUGAGGCAGGGAAAGAUAUAGAAACUUCAGGAAGCUGAUAUCGGGAAAACUUAGUUUGGUGGUGGCCAGUUUCUCAUCAGCGCAGAAUAGCCUAUAGGCUUAUGUAGACUAUAAAAGAUGUAUCCUGGGCCAUGAUUGAAAGUGGGAUAUACCAUCCAUGCGGCGUGGUCAUCGAGAAAUGGAACAUGAGAUGAUGAUCAGGAGAUGAUGCUCAGGAGAUCAUUGAUGGCGGGUGAGGAGGAUAGCAGAUUGUUCUUAUGAGGUAUCCAGCUGUUACAUUGUGAGAUGAGGUCAGACGUCGACGUGUAGGCCUACCCGCAGUUUUACCAAGAGAAGGAAGAGGGAGUGGAAGGUGUUCUUCGACCGACGAAUAUAUCUUGCAGAUACUAUGAUUGGAAAGUGUACCCUAUAUAUGCAGUCUCAUCACGGUGAGGGGUGAUCAAGGAUCCAGUAAGGCUAUUGGCCUUCUGCCGGCCCGCGAGUCCGAGGAAGUUUACGCGGGAGUUUCCGGGUUACAUGACGGGCCCGGGGAUGACGGGAAUAUUCCAAAGAAUGUUAAGGGUUGUUUUACAAUCAGGAUGAGUGGGGGGGGGGGGGGGGGGGUUCAGGCCUUCUGUGCAUCAUAAAAAAAGAUGUAUAAAAUUAUGUGUGGUGUUAUCUACAUUGGCAAGUUAUAUAUCGGCACUGUUAGAGCAACCUCCAAGAGAAUACUUAAAAAAAAGUGUAGUUCGCAAAAUUGACCAUAAUAUGACAUUUUAGAGGAAAUUUAUUUCACCCCCCCCCCCCCUUCAAGCCCACGCAUAUCGCAUAGCCAUCAUUAUGUAUUUUUUACCAAUCAGAAUUCAUUGUUGAAAGAGUGAAAUUCAAUUGUUUAAAAACUAUAAACCCAGAUAAUUUGAUUAUUUCCGUGACUUUUAAUCCAAAAUGGGAUUUUCGAUCAGUCCCAAGUAUCCUCUCCGAAUUCGGUAGGUAGUUUUACGCCGCACAGUUAUGCUUUCUUUAUAAAAAAAAAUCAUAACAUAAGACAAACUUACAAUGAUUAGUGAGAAAAAAAAUUAAAAGUGAAAUUAGACGCACAGCUAUACUGAUUGUAACACAACUCUUAAUGUGUCACUGAUCUCACCACAAAAGUGUGAAGAUCAGUGGAUUCAAUGGAACAAAUUGAUCAAUCAAAUUAGUUCAUCUUCCCUCCGCGAAUGCAGCAACGUUAUACUCUUUUCCGCGAUUUUUUUUCACAUUUUUAUUGGCAUUAUUCAGACAAAAUCAUGUAAAAACAAAAACGAGAUAAGAAAAAAAAAACUUUGUCUAUCUUGCGUGCAGGAAAAUUUUGCAUUUUUAUACAUAACCUAAAUGCUGACUGAAUUCUGCUGUAAUAGGCAUAUUUAACGUUCCUAGCUGGGACAUUCCCCUUGUUGUUAAGUAAAUUCUCUAUAUAACUAGCUAAAGGAGGAGGCUGCAUUCGGUCAUUUUUUGUUCUACCAUACGUCUAACAUUUAUAUCUUAAACAUGUUAUAUGUAUUUUUUAAGGCUUUGGUGGAUUUAAUUAGAAACACGCUCUCUGGUCCAUGGAUUUUUUGUAUAUAUAUAUAUAUAUAAACUCAGAAGCAAGGGAAAUUAAAGGAAUAUGUUAUAGUUUGGUGAAAUUAAAUAACAUUUUAAGCAAAAAAUUGUAAGCUUCCACAUCUUUUCUCUUUGCAAUGAGGAGGGAAUGACAAUCCACUUUCACCUUCUACAUUUGGCACUCUUAUCUCCUCCAAGGGGUAGUGAAUUGGUACUGUAUGCAGCGCUUAUAGAAACAGCGCUACAUAAAUUUUGCGUAUUAUUAUUGUAAUAUUUUUUAUUGAUUGAUUGCUCUUUUUUUACUAGUAUGAUGUACAUUGCUAAUACACCGUCACUUGCAUUUUGACAAUGGUGGUUAACGAGUGAAGUGUAGAAGUGUGGAACAUUUAACUUAUCCAGAUAUCUUACCCCAUCUUGGAUAUAAAUUCAUGUUAAUAACAAGGGGAAUCUUUAAUGAUGCAAACAAUUAAACAGACCCCCCUUUUUUAGAAUGGGUCUUAGAUAUUCGUUCCUAGGAAGUAAGAAACAAUGUAUAUUUAAAAUCGUUAUUAAUGUAUGAACAAAAAGUAAUGAAAGUCCACUUUGCCAAAAUUCUCUUUUGACUAUUUUAAAAUAGUAUUUUGAAGGGCAAGUCCACCCAACAGAAAAGCGGGUUUGAAUAGUGCUAGGAAAACAUCAAAUAAUCAAAAUCAAAAUUUUAUAAGAAUCAGAUGUAAAAUAAGAAAGUUAUGAAAUUAUGAUUUUUUUGCUUAUUUUCACAAAACAAUUGCAUUGUAUGAUUGUAUUUUUUAAAGAAACAGGUUAUUUCAAUUUUCCGCAGAUUCGACCCCAAAAACAUCUUCGUUGAAUCAAAAUAGAUUGCAACUACGGCAAUCACAUAAAAGAAGAAAUCAAACCUGGUUUUACGUCAUAAUAAGGAAAAUAUAUGAAGAUAUUUCAGAAUUCACAUGAUGAUAAAAUACAAAGAAACCGUGAGUUGGUGGAGUCAUCAGUUGACUCAUUUGCAUACUGAACAGAAUUGCCAUAACUUUCUUAUUUUAUGUCCUAUCAUGAUUGUAUGAUUAUAUUGUGGUAGGUCUAUUUCGAAAAUACACCAAGAAAAUCUAAAAUGUAAAUUCCUCUGCUAAUGACAUGAGGGUAGAUUUUAUAAUUCCUUAUUUUGCCUGGUGGGUGUUUUAUAAAGCUGUUCAUAAGUCUCGACUGACUUUACGCCAAACUGGUGCUCCUUUCUUGUGCCAUAGUGCUGACAUAGUACCUAAUAUUAUGUUCUGGUCAUGAAUAAAGUCGUGCAUUACUUUGCGAAGAGCUUUUCGAAACAUCCACCUCGACAGUAAAAGAUAUUGAUACUCUU